rnacentral:tRNA from 1 species
GGGGCCGUAGCUCACCUGGUAGAGCACCAGCUUUGCAAGCUGGGGGCAACCGGUUCGAUCCCGGUCGGCUCCA